AAUUUAAUUGGGUAAAGGGAAAAUUUAUGCAUACAGUUUUGUGUGUUUUUUUUUUACCCUCAGACAUGAACAAGUGCCCUCAGUGGUAUAGAAGAAAUGGAAAUGGAAACUCUGCUCACCUGGCAUUAAAUUUAGGUGUUUCUCAGCAUCUUUGGCAUUUGGAGCAAAAAGCUCCUGAAAAAGUGGAGGUCCAAAUCAUUCUCCGGAUAGGGGUGACCAUGGUCUGUAUCAUGUGUCACCUUUCUGCUGCUGCUCCUCCCACCCCAAGUCUUCACUGAGAGCUGCCUGAACUGGGGUGAGCACUUGACCAGUCCCUAGGCUUGCCCAUGAGGUGAUGUGACACAUGAAAAC
rnacentral:lncRNA from 1 species